GGGUGACUUNACGUAGGUAACGUACCCUGUACUGGGGGAUAACACCGGGAAACUGGUGCUAAUACCGCAUAAGCCUUGAGCUGAGAUGCUCUUGGUUAAAGAAUUUUGGUACAGGAUCGGCCUGCGUCGGAUUAGCUUGUUGGUGGGGUAACGGCCUACCAAGGCGACGAUCCGUAGUUGGUCUGAGAGGAUGACCAGCCACAGUGGAACUGAGAUACGGUCCACACUCCUACGGGAGGCAGCAGUAGGGAAUAUUGCGCAAUGGGCGAAAGCCUGACGCAGCAACACCGUGUGCGGGACGAAGCCCCUUGGGGUGUAAACCGCUGUCAGCAGGGAAGAACCAUGACGGUACCUGCAGAGGAAGCAUCGGCUAACUACGUGCCAGCAGCCGCGGUAAUACGUAGGAUGCAAGCGUUGUCCGGAUUUAUUGGGCGUAAAGCGUUCGUAGGUGGUAAGGAAAGUCUGAUGUUAAAGACCGGAGCUCAACUCCGGAGUGGCAUUGGAAACUCCCUUGCUAGAGUGCGGCAGAGGUAAGGGGAAUUCCCGGUGUAGCGGUGAAAUGCGUAGAUAUCGGGAGGAACACCAGUGGCGAAAGCGCCUUGCUGGGCCGUAACUGACACUGAGGAACGAGAGCCAGGGGAGCGAAAGGGAUUAGAUACCCCUGUAGUCCUGGCUGUAAACGAUGGAUACUAGGUGUUGGCGGAUUCGACCCCGUCAGUGCCGAAGCUAACGCGAUAAGUAUCCCGCCUGGGGAGUACGACCGCAAGGUUGAAACUCAAAGGAAUUGACGGGGGCCCGCACAAGCGGUGGAACAUGUGGUUUAAUUCGAUGCAACGCGAAGAACCUUACCUGGGCUUGACAUCCGCGGAACCUGGUGGAAACACUGGGGUGCCUUUGGAACCGCGAGACAGGUGGUGCACGGUUGUCGUCAGCUCGUGUCGUGAGAUGUUGGGUUAAGUCCCGCAACGAGCGCAACCCUCGUGGUCUGUUGUUACGGAGCGCAAGCUGCCGAACCCUCAGGCCAGACUGCCGGUGAUAAACCGGAGGAAGGUGGGGACGACGUCAAAUCAUCACGCCCCUUAUGUCCAGGGCUACACACGUGUUACAAUGCGAUGGGACAACGGGUCGCUUGGCAGCAAUGUCUGGCAAAUCCUUAAACCCACGCUCAGUUCGGAUCGGAGUCUGCAACUCGACUUCGUGAAGUCGGAAUCGCUAGUAAACGCAGAUCAGCACGCUGCGUUGAAU
rnacentral:rRNA from 1 species